rnacentral:tRNA from 1 species
GCCCUGUUCGUCUAACGGCAAGGACACCGGGUUCUCAUCUCGACAAUAGGAGUUCGAUUCUCCUACAGGGUGCCA